UCUCACUGCUAGUGACAAUGAUGAUAUUUGUACAGUUUGUGGAGGAGGAGGAGAUUUGAUCCUUUGUGAUGGAUGUCCAUGAGCAUUUCAUGCAGCUUGUUUGGAAUUACAGAACAUCCCAGAAGGUGAUUGGCAUUGUCCAUAAUGCAAAGAUAAAUUUGGCUCUGGCAGAAAUGCACCUACUACGAUAAGGUUGACAAGAGUUGUCAGAGAACCAGCAAUCCAAAUAGGUGGUUGUGCUGUUUGCAGGGCCUAUGACUUCGUUGACAAAACAUUUGAUGAGCGAACAGUUUUGCUCUGUGACCAAUGUGAGAAAGAGUUCCAUGUUGGGUGUUUGAGGGAAUGUGGACUCUGUGAUUUGAAAGAAAUUUCCAAGGGCAAGCGGUUUUGCUGUGAGGGCUGCAAUAGGAUCCAUUGCGCUUUAUAGAACUUAAUUCUCCGUGGAGCAGAGAUGAUUCCAUGUUCAGUUUCAGGUGUGAUAAAGAGGAAGCUCAUAGAGAAAGGCCUUGUUGAUGCAACUGAAGAUAAUGUGCA